rnacentral:lncRNA from 1 species
UUUGCAUCCCACAUGGGCUUUGAGAGAAGUACUGGGUAUAUCUCUACAUCUUGUUUACUGUCACUCUGCACUAAGCUGUUACUUCAAAGCAUUUGCCUUGAAUAAUCACAAUCAGUAAACUGCAUAACAGCUUUGUUAAAUACACUGCCUCUAUCCUUACACUAUGGGUCUGGGAAAAAAAGAAACAGGACUCAGGUAGAGGACAGAUACUUUCAGAAGGUUCCCACCCCAGCCCGAAUCUGUGCUCACUGCCUGCACGCUGCCUUUUCUGCAAUACUGGUCCUGCAGCCUGCAUGUGCCUGGGCCAAGUGCUCCUACCUGUCUUCACACUAUGCAGAUAAAUCCAUGCAAAGUUUUCCUGGCUGAUGCAAAAACUAUCAUCGUGAUUCCCCAAGGCAAGCAUAUGUGCUCUCUGGAUUUGUUAUUGCAUUGACAACACUGAUUAUCCACAGAAAAGGACGGAUUCAGACACAAAGUCAGAUAUCAAAACUGCAAUACUAAAGUAUAAGGGUGAAAAUUAUGUGUUGUUGUUGUUUUUC